rnacentral:rRNA from 1 species
UGAGUUUGAUGAUGGCUCUGAUUGAACGCUAUCUAAGUGCUUGACACAUGCUAAUCGAACGACAUUCACCGUAAAAAGAGAAUGAAGUGGUGUACAGGUGAGUAAAAAAUAUUUAGGCUACCUUAAGGAAAGGGGUAAAAUCCCAUAAAAGAAAGUAUUCGCUUUAAGAUGAAAAAAAAUAUUUCGGAAAGUAGUAGAAAAGGUAAUGUCUUAACUAGCUAAAAAUCCGUAGUCGAGACUGAGAGGUUGAUCGACCACAUUGGGUCUGAAAAAACCCCAAUGCGCAAUAGUACAGCAGUGAGGAAUAUUGGUCAAUGGCCUAACGGCUGAACCAGCAACUUGGAAGAAUGAAAAUGUAUUAUUAAAUAAUGCAAUAGCGAAUAAGUCGUAUAAAAUUCUAAAUAGAAUAAUGAUUAUGACAAUUUUCUAUUUAUAAGUCUUGACCAAAAUACGUGCCAGCAGUCGCGGUAAUACGUAGGAGACUAGUGUUAUUCAUCUUUAUUGGGUUUAAAGGGUAACUAGACGGUAAUUUAUACCCUUAGAGGGAAUUUUUUUACUAGAGUUUUAUGAGAGAAGGAAGAACUUUUGGAGGAAAGAUAGAAUUUUUUGAUACUAAAAGGACUGGUAAAGGCGAAGGCGUCCUUCUAUGUAAAAACUGACGUUGAGGUACGAAGGCUUGGGUAGCGAUAAGGAUUAGAUACCCUAGUAGUCCAAGCAGAAAAUUAUGAAUGUCAUAAGCUAGACAAUAAAAAUAAUUUAGCUUAUAAAUGAAAGUGUAAACAUUCCACCUCAAGAGUAAUAUGGCAACAUAGAAACUGAAAUCAUUAGACCGUUACUGAAACCAGUAGUGAAGUAUGUUAUUUAAUUCGAUAAUCCGCGAUUAACCUUACCACAAUUUGUAUAAUAUUAAAUUAUUACACGCGCUGCACGGCUGUCUUCAGUUAAUGUCGUGAGAUUUGGUUAACUCCUUUAAUUAACGAAAACCCUCACUUUAUUUGUAAACAUAAAGUGGUUCGCCGCUAUAUUGGACUAGAUAAGAGGGACUAAGACAAGUCAUCAUGGCCAUAAUAUUGUGGGCUAUAGACGUGCCACACAUGCCUUUACAAAGGGAUGCUAUAUUGUAAAAUGGAGCUAAUCCCCAAAAUAGGAUAUAAUAUGGAUUGUAGUCUGUAACUCGACUACAUGAAUAAGGAAUUACUAGUAAUCGUGAAUCACCACGUCACGGUGAAUCUAAUCUCAGUAGGGCACUAACCACUCGUCAGGCGCUGAAAGGAGUAUGUGCAAUAAGUUUGGUUUUUGUGUAUAUUAAUAUGUAUAAAUAUAUACAUACAUAUAUACAAAUUAUCUUCGUAUGCAUGACUUUAAUUGGUGUUAAGUCGAAAUAAGGUUCGUGUAAUGGAAAUUGCACGGG